CAGGUUUGAUCCUGGCUCAGGAUGAACGCUAGCGGCAGGCUUAACACAUGCAAGUCGAGGGGCAGCAUAAUGGAUAGCAAUAUCUAUGGUGGCGACCGGCGCACGGGUGCGUAACGCGUAUGCAACCUACCCAUAACAGGGGGAUAACACUGAGAAAUUGGUACUAAUACCCCAUAACAUCAGGACCGGCAUCGGUUCUGGUUGAAAACUCCGGUGGUUAUGGAUGGGCAUGCGUUGUAUUAGCUGGUUGGUGAGGUAACGGCUCACCAAGGCAACGAUACAUAGGGGGACUGAGAGGUUAACCCCCCACAUUGGUACUGAGACACGGACCAAACUCCUACGGGAGGCAGCAGUGAGGAAUAUUGGUCAAUGGACGCAAGUCUGAACCAGCCAUGCCGCGUGCAGGAAGACGGCUCUAUGAGUUGUAAACUGCUUUUGUACGAGGGUAAACGCAGAUACGUGUAUCUGUCUGAAAGUAUCGUACGAAUAAGGAUCGGCUAACUCCGUGCCAGCAGCCGCGGUAAUACGGAGGAUCCAAGCGUUAUCCGGAUUUAUUGGGUUUAAAGGGUGCGUAGGCGGUUUGAUAAGUUAGAGGUGAAAUACCGGUGCUUAACACCGGAACUGCCUCUAAUACUGUUGAACUAGAGAGUAGUUGCGGUAGGCGGAAUGUAUGGUGUAGCGGUGAAAUGCUUAGAGAUCAUACAGAACACCGAUUGCGAAGGCAGCUUACCAAACUAUAUCUGACGUUGAGGCACGAAAGCGUGGGGAGCAAACAGGAUUAGAUACCCUGGUAGUCCACGCAGUAAACGAUGAUAACUCGCUGUCGGCGAUACACAGUCGGCGGCUAAGCGAAAGCGAUAAGUUAUCCACCUGGGGAGUACGUUCGCAAGAAUGAAACUCAAAGGAAUUGACGGGGGCCCGCACAAGCGGAGGAACAUGUG
rnacentral:rRNA from 1 species